AUUGAACGCUGGCGGAAUGCUUUACACAUGCAAGUCGAGCGGCAGCGCGGUGCAACCUGGCGGCGAGCGGCGAACGGGUGAGUAAUGUAUCGGAACGUGUCCUUGAGUGGGGGAUAGCCCGGUGAAAACCGGAUUAAUACCGCAUGAGCUCGAGAGAGGAAAGCGGGGGAUCGCAAGACCUCGCGCUGGAGGAGCGGCCGAUAUCCGAUUAGCUAGAUGGUGAGGUAAAGGCUUACCAUGGCUUUGAUCGGUAGCUGGUCUGAGAGGAUGAUCAGCCGCACUGGGACUGAGACACGGCCCAGACUCCUACGGGAGGCAGCAGUGGGGAAUUUUGGACAAUGGGGGCAACCCUGAUCCAGCCAUUCCGCGUGAGUGAAGAAGGCCUUCGGGUUGUUAAGCUCUUUUGUCGGGGACGAAACGGUUUUGGCUAAUACCCAGGACUACUGACGGUACCCGAAGAAUAAGCACCGGCUAACUACGUGCCAGCCGCCGCCGUAAAAC
rnacentral:rRNA from 1 species